rnacentral:precursor_RNA from 1 species
UAUCCCCAUGGAGUCUGUUGCCCUGGGAGCCCUGGCUCCGAAGCGUCUGUCGGGGAAGCAGGCUCUGGGGAUUAA